GAUGACACUGUCUCCGGAAUCUCUGAUUCUUUGUGAUGACUUAAUUUGAACCUUUUUCCAGCUGAUGACUGCAGACCUGUCAU